rnacentral:rRNA from 1 species
UAUGCACUAUUUUCUUCAGUACGAAAGGACCAAGAAAAUAGGACCCAUAUUCUAAACAAGUCCUCACCCUCGCUGAAACAAUAUUAAACUCACCAGUACCCCACUAUCCAAAAACAGGACC